UCUUUAUUAUAUUUCUAGAUUUGAGGGAGUGGACAUCCCAGCAACCUCUGUUAAAAAGAAUCCCAGCAAAGGCACAGCAUGGCUUGCGAACAUUUCAGAUAGAGUUCACUUGCCUUGAUGCUUGUCAUGAUAUAUUAGCCAUAGGUACCAAUGCAGGAACUGUUUAUCUAUGCAAUAGGAAAAAUGCAUUGCUGCAGCGUUUAAGAGCACAGAAUACAAAUGAUGGCAUUGCUAGUAUAAAAAUAUACUCUUCGGCCAUCGAUACUAUGGUUGCCAUGGGAACCACCAGUGGCACAGUUCUAAUCUAUCAGCUCCCGUCAGCAAUACCAGGACCUGGCCAUAGAAAACAGCUAGAAAAGUUUGUGAUAUCAGAGAUUCAUCACCAGCCGGUAGUUACAAUGGAGUGGAGUGUAAAUGGCAUGCGUCUGUUCAGUGGUGACCUGGAAGGCUUGGUAGUUCACACACAGCUGGAUUUUACCGAGGCAUGUCGAACCUUUUAGAACUUUGCAAU